rnacentral:lncRNA from 1 species
UUUCAGUAGCAACUGACUCUGCUAACACCUUGGUCUGGAACUUCUAGUGUGUAAAAGUGUGAGACAACACAUUUCUGUUGUUUAAGACACACAAUCUGUGGUACUUUGAUACAGCAGCCCUGACAAACUAAUACAUGGGGUGUCUCAUUGUAGUUUUAAUCAGUAACACCCAUUAUGAACUGAAAACGUCUGCUACUUUUAAGAUCCAACUUGAAUGCUUCCUGAUUAAAUAUAUACAGGAGUGAUUUCAGAGGAAUUUAAGUUUUGGAUCAUUCUUUUGAGAAAGAAAGAAAAGUACCCUUUUAAAAGAGGUGGCUCUUGAACAACACAGGUUUGAACUGCAUCAUUCCACUUAUACACAGACUUUCUUCUGCCACUGCCACUCCUGAGACAACAUGACCAAUCUCUCCCCUUCCUCCUCCUCAGCGUACUUUCAACAUAAAGACGACGAGGAUAAAGGCAUUUAUGAUGAACUACUUCCACAUAAUGAAUAAUUGAACAAAGGAGAGAAUUGUGAGAGUGAGAAAAAGUGAGACAAAGAAGAAAAACUAUAAAUCAGCAAAAUACAGUGCCAAGAGCUCUGGACCACAAAUCAGAAGACCUGAGCCCUAAUUCCUUUCCAGUCAUUGGAUUUGUUCGUCGCUUGCCAAAAUAGCAGCGAACUCUCUGUCAAACUGCAACUCAUUUUAUCGGAGCAAAAACUGAACAAAGAACUGCUAUCAUUUCUGAGGUCAGAGGCAGUGCAGCUUGUGUUACAACUCAAAAGAGUAAUACUCUGAAAAAAGAAAAAAAAAGAUGGCGCUGAAAAUAAACAUGUUCAGCAGCCAUUGUGAUUCAACUUACCCAGAUGUGCUUUUCAUGAGAUGGAGAAGGACGGAUGGAAAAGAAAAGCACACAAAUGUUAAUGGAUACAGUUCAAUCCAAAGAAAACCAUGGAAUAAAACAAGAGCAUUAUUUAAGAUGUGAGAAAGCUCAGGUAUGAGAAAGACAUGGUGCCAUUUUGUAUUUCAUCAUGACACACAUACUCACUGCGUCGAAAAGCAUAGUCAGGCUGAGGGUAGUUCUAAUAGUUGACCAAUAAGUCUAUGUCUUGAGUAUGAGCCACUCUGAAACAUGCAUGACCACAUUUUCCCAGCCUCGAGUACAUCCCAGGAGGAAAUCAAGAAAUCUUGGUAAAGGACAUUCUUUACCUCAGGCCACUUCCAUGCUAUUUUACCAGUAGAAACAAUAACUUAUUAAUUGGCACUUAGAUUUUUAUAUAGCUUUAUAAGCCUACUGCUAAGGCCCAAGAAAAAAGAACAGCAGACAUUAGAAUGGGCAGCAACUUGAAGUGAAGAAUGUCCUUCCUAGUUUGAGGAUCUGAAAAUCUAGAUUCUAUUUCUCAUACACAGUUUGGUCAAAAUUAUUAGCAGAUUCUGAUCUUCAAUUUCCUCAACACAAUCCCUGGCAAUAGAAAUGUGUAAAGUCCAUUCCAGAUCCAUAAUGUUAUUAUUCCAACCAAUGCUGUAAUAAUAAUUACUAUUUUGGUAAACAUAUAUGGCUAGUAAUCAGAACAUAAGAAAGUGUAAAAAUGUUCUAUUCCUCUUCUUCGGUGGCCAUAUUACUUCCUUCUCUAUUUGACUGGCAAAAUAAACAUCAAGUUUGUGUCUAUUGUGGCUCUUUCAGUGGUAGAAAUAUUUAAUUAUUUGAAUAGGUGUUUAUAAAUGUUGUUUUUGGGGAAACAUCCAUAAAUUAUAUUGGUUCACCAAUAUUACCAGAAAUCAUCACUAAAACGACAUUGAUACACAUAUAGCUUUUGAAGAACCCACUUGCUCCCUGGAUGUAGUAGAGGCAUUGAGAAAAUAUGGAAGUUAAAUAAUUCAACAAAAAUUCAUGAGAGUAUUGUUUUAAAAAUAUAUUACAAGCAUAAUAGCCUAAUUAUUAAAAAAUAAAAUUGUUACUACAACUCAUAAAACAUGUUCAAUAUAACAAAAUAGAAAGCAGAAAUUCCUAUGUCAGAAAUUAGGCAAGUUAGAGCAUCUUCUUUUUUAUCGCACAAUUAUUAUAAAGAAAAGAUUGAUGUGCAAUGGAACACCCUGCACAUGCCUCCUCUCAAGGCAUUCAUUCAGAGAAACCGUG